GACGAACGCUGGCGGCGUGCUUAACACAUGCAAGUCGAACGGAAAGGCCCUGCUUUUGUGGGGUGCUCGAGUGGCGAACGGGUGAGUAACACGUGAGUAACCUGCCCUUGACUUUGGGAUAACUUCAGGAAACUGGGGCUAAUACCGGAUAGGAGCUCCUGCUGCAUGGUGGGGGUUGGAGAGUUUCGGCGGUUGGGGAUGGACUCGCGGCUUAUCAGCUUGUUGGUGGGGUAGUGGCUUACCAAGGCUUUGACGGGUAGCCGGCCUGAGAGGGUGACCGGCCACAUUGGGACUGAGAUACGGCCCAGACUCCUACGGGAGGCAGCAGUGGGGAAUAUUGCACAAUGGGCGGAAGCCUGAUGCAGCAACGCCGCGUGCGGGAUGACGGCCUUCGGGUUGUAAACCGCUUUCGACUGUGACGAAGCGUGAGUGACGGUAAUUGGUAAAGAAGCACCGGCUAACUACGUG
rnacentral:rRNA from 1 species